rnacentral:rRNA from 1 species
UGCAAGUCGAACGAUGAACUUGGAGCUUGCUCUGGGGGAUUAGUGGCGAACGGGUGAGUAACACGUGAGUAACCUGCCCUGGACUCUGGGAUAACCCCGAGAAAUCGGAGCUAAUACCGGAUAGGACCUGGAACCGCAUGGUUUUGGGUGGAAAGUUUUUUCGGUCUGGGAUGGACUCGCGGCCUAUCAGCUUGUUGGUGAGGUAAUGGCUCACCAAGGCGUCGACGGGUAGCCGGCCUGAGAGGGUGACCGGCCACACUGGGACUGAGACACGGCCCAGACUCCUACGGGAGGCAGCAGUGGGGAAUAUUGCACAAUGGGCGAAAGCCUGAUGCAGCAACGCCGCGUGAGGGAUGACGGCCUUCGGGUUGUAAACCUCUUUUAGUAGGGAAGAAGGGCUUCGGCUUGACGGUACCUGCAGAAAAAGCACCGGCUAACUACGUGCCAGCAGCCGCGGUAAUACGUAGGGUGCGAGCGUUGUCCGGAAUUAUUGGGCGUAAAGAGCUCGUAGGCGGUUUGUCACGUCUGCUGUGAAAUCCCGAGGCUCAACCUCGGGCCUGCAGUGGGUACGGGCAGACUGGAGUGCGGUAGGGGAGAUUGGAAUUCCUGGUGUAGCGGUGGAAUGCGCAGAUAUCAGGAGGAACACCGAUGGCGAAGGCAGAUCUCUGGGCCGUAACUGACGCUGAGGAGCGAAAGCGUGGGGAGCGAACAGGAUUAGAUACCCUGGUAGUCCACGCCGUAAACGUUGGGCGCUAGAUGUGGGGACCAUUCCACGGUUUCCGUGUCGUAGCUAACGCAUUAAGCGCCCCGCCUGGGGAGUACGGCCGCAAGGCUAAACUCAAAGGAAUUGACGGGGGCCCGCACAAGCGGCGGAGCAUGCGGAUUAAUUCGAUGCAACGCGAAGAACCUUACCAAGGC